CUUAGGCUGAAUAAAAACUAAUAACUUCAAUUUGUGUUUGUCAUUAAAAAAAGAAGGUGAUUUCUAUUUUCAGCUUUAAAAAAAAUAUGCAACUCUGCCCUGAAAUUAUCAUGGCCUAGAAGGAACCGUGGUGGUGCAUUGGUUAAAACCCUUGUGCUGGCUGAACUGGUGACCUGAAUGUUGGAUUGCUGACCUGAAGCUCCAGUCUUCCUCCAUGCCAUACAUCCUAUCUGUGUACUUAUGCCAACAGCUUGAGACUUUUGGCCCUUAUGGUUGUUGUUGUUGUUGCUGCUGCUGCUGCUGCUGUUGUUGUGUCCAGAUUUGGGAUGGGGUGGGGGUGUGGGAGGUGAGUCAUGCCUAUAGCUCUUGUUACAUCUUGAAUAGACUACUGCAAUCCACUCUAAGUGGGGUUGCAUUUGAAGACUGUAUGGAAGCUUCAAGUGACCCAAUAGGCAGCAGCCAGAUUCCUCACUGGGGCAGCGUACAGGGAUCAAACAACCCCCCUCCCCCGCUAUGUUGGCUCCACUGGCUGUCAGUCUGCUACCGACUACGAUUCAAAGUGCUGGCUUUAGCCUAUAAAGCCCUAAACAGUUCUAGCCCAGCUUACCUAUCCAAACUUAUCCCGCUCUAUGAACCACCUUGGAGAUUAAGAUUGUCUGGGGAGACCCUGCUCCUAAUACCACCUCCUUCGGAGGAGUGGUUGGUGGGGGUGAGAGACAGGGCCUUCUCAGUGGUGGCCCCUCACCUGUGGGACUCCCUUCUGAGCAAAAUUAAAGCAGCCCCCUCCCUCCUGACUUUCAAGAAGAAAGUAAAAAUGCGGUUAUGGGACCAAGCCUUUGGAUAGUAAGUUUUAGUGCAAUAAGAGAAUAAGGAUCAGUGAAAUGACAAAUGCAAAAGCCUUGGAUCAUAAUUUUGGAUGGUGUGAUUUUAAUAAUUGUUUUAAAUUGAGUUGUUUAAAUGUUUUUUGUUUUAUUAUAUGUAUGUUUAUGGCAUUGAAUUUCUGCCUAUCUGUAAGACCACACUGAGUCCCCUUUGGGGUUACAAGGGUGGGAUAUAAAUGUAGUAAAUAAAUAAAUAUAGGCCUAUCAUCUUUUAAA